AAGUAGUACACAAUGGAGUUAGCAAAAAAACAAGUACUUUAUUUCAUUUCAUUAAUAGUAGAACAUGGUUCAUCUAUAUAAUAGAUAAGGUGACUGAAAAAUCACUGCAAAGUUGAUAUUUAUGCGAAUCAGAACAGCAAAAGACAUAUUUAUAGCUUAGAGACUUCAGGGCAAGACAAAGUCUGUGGGAGACUGGGCCUGACUUCAGCUCAGUUCUUCAUGCUGCGUGUUACAGAAGGAACAACAAAACAAACAAACAGGAAGGACUGUUUACACCACAAUUGGCAAGAAGAGGCCUGACUCUAGAUGGGUCUAUCCCGACAGUGGGGAGAUAAGGCUUGUACGGGCAGAGGCAUUGUAGAUUAGCAACUCUGGCCACUGCGCAGCAGUCCGGUCCCGGUGGUGGAGGGUUGUUUCCAGUGACGGCUGGACGGCAUUUCGCCAAGUCGUUUGUGUCAAUGUUGCAAACGGGAAUGCUUGUAGCUUCUUUCACCAUUAUUGCAGCUGUUAAAACCAUCGCGAGAGCUGAAAAUUGCAUGAGGAUUCUGGUGUUGUCCUUACCCAUUCUCUCUUUUUCUAAUCCCUUAUUCUUUCUCACUCAACUCUGUUGUGAUAU